UGGAACGGGACGUCAUAGAGGGUGAGAGCCCCGUGUCCGGGUGGAUGCAGGCAGAAAGAUGAAGCUCCUUCGACGAGUCGAGUUGUUUGGGAAUGCAGCUCAAAAUGGGAGGUAAAUUUCUUCCAAAGCUAAAUACCGGCUGGAGACCGAUAGUGCACAAGUAGAGUGAUCGAAAGAUGAAAAGCACUUUGGAAAGAGAGUCAAACAGCGCGUGAAAUUGUUGAAAGGGAAGCGCUUGUGGUCAGACUUGGCCGUCGUUGCUCGAGGGGAUCUCGUGUCCCUUUUGCUCUUCGGCGGCUGGGCCAGCAUCGACUCGGGCGGCUGGAUAAAGGCUGCGGGAACGUGGCUCCCUCCGGGGAGUGUUAUAGCCCGCGGUGCAAUGCAGCCAGCCUGGGUCGAGGUCUGCGUAUCUGCUAGGAUGCUGGCGUAAUGGCCCCAAGCGGCCCGUCUUGAAACACGGACCAAGGAGUCUAACAUUCGUGCGAGUGUUCGGGCGUUAAACCCGUGCGCGCAAUGAAAGUGAACGGAGGUGGGAACCCGCAAGGGUGCACCAUCGACCGAUCCUGAUGUCUUCGGAUGGAUUUGAGU
rnacentral:rRNA from 1 species